CGUUGUAGAUUUUAUCCGGCGUUCAUGAGCCAUUGAUAGUAAAUUAACUAGUCAUUUUACAUUCGAUAUACAUAAAUAGUGGAUGCAAAAUGAAUAUUGCCAUUGCAUUGUGUUGUGUAGCCAAGACAUUUUUUUCCUGCAACUUUUGAUAAUCCAACAAUCUCAUUUACGCUAGAAGGGAACAUGUAUUCUGUCUGCGGUAGUUAUAGAAGAACUGUAAACUCUGUUUUUACAUUGGUGCUGCUUUCCAUAGAUAGAUUAAUUGAUUUUUAUCUGAAAGAAUAAUUAAUGCUGGCUCCUUGGUCAUUUAUAGAGUGAUUGACAAUGCAUUAUGUUCAAAUAAUUUCCAAUGAAAAGAGUACUGUUUCGUUUUGCCUUUGUUGACUUGGCUGUCUCUGACAAGAAGAAAAGGCAGAUGGAUGAUGACCAGAAAAGUAAAGAGAGUGCUUUCUCCAGGAAGCAUAUGGAAAGCUCCGUGACAAAACAACAACGACUGCUUUCGUACUAGUUGAUUCAGACAAGUGAAGCUGUCAACGACAUCAGAUGAUGAGGAUCAAAAUGGGAUGGGCCAGAAUGAGUUUUGAAUGUUAAUCAAGGGACUGGCUGAUUCAAAAUGGCCAUUUUGGUGAGGCGUCGCAACUGCUGUGCGGACGAUAACAUUCAGAACACACAGGUGCAGAUGUAAUGUUGCUGAGACGCAUGGCUGAUGUGAAACAAGUUGAGAUUGGUACCAGACAAAUGAAAUGGAUAAAGGAGGUAUCACCAUCUCUUGUUCUCACCAUUUCUUCUGACCUGUCGACGUCUUUAUGUUCAUCAUCUGGUCCUGAUUCUAUCUUUCCGUUUAUUCAUGCACUUGAGCUAGCCCACAACUACACCAUAGAUUCCCCAAAUUGUAUUUCCCUUUAUUCUGUGUAGAUCCUAUUCCCCUAUGAUGUAAUCGAGUUCUAUGGGUGGGAUGUAUACGUUACAACUCGUUUCUUGUCUACGUACGAAUUAUUCUAAUGAAUAGAAUAUAUUUUUUCAUAAUGAGCCC